rnacentral:rRNA from 1 species
CGAAGGGGGCUAGCGUUGUUCGGAAUUACUGGGCGUAAAGCGCACGUAGGCGGAUACUUAAGUCAGGGGUGAAAUCCCGGGGCUCAACCCCGGAACUGCCUUUGAUACUGGGUAUCUGGAGUCCGGAAGAGGUGAGUGGAAUUCCGAGUGUAGAGGUGAAAUUCGUAGAUAUUCGGAGGAACACCAGUGGCGAAGGCGGCUCACUGGUCCGGUACUGACGCUGAGGUGCGAAAGCGUGGGGAGCAAACAGGAUUAGGUACCCUGGUAGUCCACGCCGUAAACGAUGGAAGCUAGCCGUUGGCAAGUUUACUUGUCGGUGGCGCAGCUAACGCAUUAAGCUUCCCGCCUGGGGAGUACGGUCGCAAGAUUA